CGCGUAGGCGGGAAUGCAAGUCAGAUGUGAAAUCCAAGGGCUCAACCCUUGAACUGCAUUUGAAACUGUAUUUCUUGAGUGUCGGAGAGGUUGACGGAAUUCCUAGUGUAGCGGUGAAAUGCGUAGAUAUUAGGAGGAACACCAGUGGCGAAGGCGGUCAACUGGACGAUAACUGACGCUGAGGCGCGAAAGCGUGGGAGCAAACA
rnacentral:rRNA from 1 species